rnacentral:rRNA from 1 species
UACGGAGGGGGCUAGCGUUGUUCGGAAUUACUGGGCGUAAAGCGCGCGUAGGCGGACCUGCAAGUCGGGGGUGAAAGCCAGAGGCUCAACCUCGGAACUGCCUUCGAUACUGCGGGUCUCGAGUCCGGGAGAGGUGAGUGGAAUUCCUAGUGUAGAGGUGAAAUUCGUAGAUAUUAGGAAGAACACCAGUGGCGAAGGCGGCUCACUGGCCCGGUACUGACGCUGAGGCGCGAAAGCGUGGGGAGCGAACAGG